UACGAAGGGGGCUAGCGUUGCUCGGAAUCACUGGGCGUAAAGCGCACGUAGGCGGACUUUUAAGUCAGGGGUGAAAUCCUGGAGCUCAACUCCAGAACUGCCUUUGAUACUGGAAGUCUUGAGUCCGGAAGAGGUAAGUGGAACUGCGAGUGUAGAGGUGAAAUUCGUAGAUAUUCGGAAGAACACCAGUGGCGAAGGCGGCAUACUGGCCCAUUACUGACGCUGAGGCUCGAAAGCGUGGGGAGCAAACAGG
rnacentral:rRNA from 1 species